rfam:Fonticula alba strain ATCC 38817 mitochondrial scaffold supercont2.214, whole genome shotgun sequence.
GGCGGACUAAUUUAAUGGUAAAAUAGGAGCCUGCAAAGCUUCGUAUAUAGGUUCGAUUCCUAUGCCCGCCU